rnacentral:lncRNA from 1 species
UUUGUAAUGGAAGCUUGUCUGACACUGUUGGAUAGAGUAAAGCAAGCACAGGAGAAAGAUGAAGAAUGUGAGAAAAUAAGGAAAAGGAUCGCGAAUAAUGAGGUAGAAAAAUUUCGAAUAGAUAAAGACGGUAUCUUAAGAUUUGAAGGGAGAGUGUGGGUACCGGUAGUGGCCGAGUUAAGAGAGGAGAUUUUGCACGAG